AUUGAACGCUGGCGGCAGGCCUAACACAUGCAAGUCGAGCGGAUGAAGGGAGCUUGCUCCUGGAUUCAGCGGCGGACGGGUGAGUAAUGCCUAGGAAUCUGCCUGGUAGUGGGGGAUAACGUCCGGAAACGGGCGCUAAUACCGCAUACGUCCUGAGGGAGAAAGUGGGGGAUCUUCGGACCUCUCGCUAUCUGAUGAGCCUAGGUCGGUUUAGCUAGUUGGUGGGGUAACGGCCUACCAAGGAGACGAUGCGUAACGGGUCUGAGAGGAUGACCAGUCACCCUGUAUCUGAGACACGGUCCAGACUCCUACGGUAGGCAGCCGUGGGGAAUAUUGGACAAUGGGCCAAUGCCUGAUCCAGCCCUGCCGCGUGUGUGAAGAAGGUCUUCGGAUUGUAAAGCGCUUUAAGUUGGGAGGAAGGGCAGUAAGUUAAUACCUUGCUGUUUUGACGUUACCAACAGAAUAAGCACCGGCUAACUUCGUG
rnacentral:rRNA from 1 species